rnacentral:rRNA from 1 species
AUUGAACGCUGGCGGCAUGCCUUACACAUGCAAGUCGAACGGUAACAGGUCUUCGGAUGCUGACGAGUGGCGAACGGGUGAGUAAUACAUCGGAACGUGCCCGAGAGUGGGGGAUAACGAGGCGAAAGCUUUGCUAAUACCGCAUACGAUCUCAGGAUGAAAGCAGGGGACCGCAAGGCCUUGCGGUCACGGAGCGGCCGAUGGCAGAUUAGGUAGUUGGUGGGAUAAAAGCGUACCAAGCCGACGAUCUGUAGCGGGUCUGAGAGGACGACCAGCCACACUGGGACUGAGACACGGCCCAGACUCCUACGGGAGGCAGCAGUGGGGAAUUUUGGACAAUGGGCGCAAGCCUGAUCCAGCCAUGCCGCGUGCAGGAUGAAGGCCUUCGGGUUGUAAACUGCUUUUGUACGGAACGAAAAGACUCUGGUUAAUACCUGGGGUCCAUGACGGUACCGUAAGAAUAAGCACCGGCUAACUACGUGCCAGCCGCCGCAGUAA